UACGGAGGGGGCUAGCGUUGUUCGGAAUUACUGGGCGUAAAGCGCGCGUAGGCGGAUUGUUAAGUCGGGGGUGAAAUCCCGGGGCUCAACCCCGGAACUGCCUUCGAUACUGGCAAUCUGGAGUUCGAGAGAGGUGAGUGGAAUUCCGAGUGUAGAGGUGAAAUUCGUAGAUAUUCGGAGGAACACCAGUGGCGAAGGCGGCUCACUGGCUCGAUACUGACGAUGAGUUGCGAAAGCGUGGGGAGCAAACAGG
rnacentral:rRNA from 1 species